rnacentral:rRNA from 1 species
UUUGAUCAUGGCUCAGAUUGAACGCUGGCGGAAUGCUUUACACAUGCAAGUCGAACGGCAGCACGGGGCAACCUGGUGGCGAGUGGCGAACGGGUGAGUAAUACAUCGGAACGUGCCCAAUCGUGGGGGAUAACGUAGCGAAAGUUACGCUAAUACCGCAUACGAUCUACGGAUGAAAGCGGGGGAUCGCAAGACCUCGCGCGAAUGGAGCGGCCGAUGUCAGAUUAGGUAGUUGGUGGGGUAAAGGCUCACCAAGCCAACGAUCUGUAGCUGGUCUGAGAGGACGACCAGCCACACUGGAACUGAGACACGGUCCAGACUCCUACGGGAGGCAGCAGUGGGGAAUUUUGGACAAUGGGCGCAAGCCUGAUCCAGCCAUUCCGCGUGCAGGAUGAAGGCCUUCGGGUUGUAAACUGCUUUUGUACGGAACGAAAAGGUCCUGGUUAAUACCUGGGGCUCAUGACGGUACCGUAAGAAUAAGCACCGGCUAACUACGUG